UUCCUACGGGGGGCAGCAGUGGGGAAUAUUGCACAAUGGGGGAAACCCUGAUGCAGCGACGCCGCGUGAGCGAAGAAGUAUUUCGGUAUGUAAAGCUCUAUCCGCAGGGAAGAAAAUGACGGUACCUGAGUAAGAAGCUCCGGCUAAAUACGUGCCAGCAGCCGCGGUAAUACGUAUGGAACAAGCGUUAUCCGGAUUUACUGGGUGUAAAGGGAGCGCAGGCGGCCUUGCAAGUCUGAUGUGAAAUACCGGGGCUCAACCCCGGAGCUGCAUUGGAAACUGCCAGGCUGGAGUGUCGGAGGGGG
rnacentral:rRNA from 1 species